CAGGAUGAACGCUAGCUACAGGCUUAACACAUGCAAGGUCGAGGGGCAGCGUGGUCUUAGCUUGCUAAGAUUGAUGGCGACCGGCGCACGGGUGAGUAACGCGUAUCCAACCUUCCCUAUAGUAGGGGAUAGCCCGUAGAAAUGCGGAUUAAUACCCUAUGUUGUAUUUCGAUGACAUCUGACGAAUACCAAAGGUUCACCGCUAUAGGAUGGGGAUGCGUCUGAUUAGGUAGUCGGCGGGGUAACGGCCCACCGAGCCAGCGAUCAGUAGGGUUCUGAGAGGAAGGUCCCCCACAUUGGAACUGAGACACGGUCCAAACUCCUACGGGAGGCAGCAGUGAGGAAUAUUGGUCAAUGGGCGAGAGCCUGAACCAGCCAAGUAGCGUGCAGGAUGACGGCCCUAUGGGUUGUAAACUGCUUUUAUGCGGGGAUAAAGUGAGGGACGUGUCCCUUAUUGUAGGUACCGCAUGAAUAAGGACCGGCUAAUUCCGUGCCAGCCGCUGC
rnacentral:rRNA from 1 species